rnacentral:rRNA from 1 species
GAUGAACGCUGGCGGCGUGCCUAACACAUGCAAGUCGAACGAAGCACUUUUCUUGAUUCCUUCGGGAUGAUUUUUAAGUGACUGAGUGGCGGACGGGUGAGUAACGCGUGGAUAACCUGCCUUAUACAGGGGGACAACAGCUGGAAACGGCUGCUAAUACCGCAUAAGCGCACAGUAUCGCAUGAUACGGUGUGAAAAACUCCGGUGGUAUAAGAUGGAUCCGCGUCUGAUUAGCUAGUUGGUGAGGUAGAGGCUCACCAAGGCGACGAUCAGGAGCCGACCUGAGAGGGUGACCGGCCACAUUGGGACUGAGACACGGCCCAGACUCCUACGGGAGGCAGCAGUGGGGAAUAUUGCACAAUGGGGGAAACCCUGAUGCAGCAACGCCGCGUGAAGGAAGAAGUAUCUCGGUAUGUAAACUUCUAUCAGCAGGGAAGAAAAUGACGGUACCUGACUAAGAAGCCCCGGCUAAAUACGUGCCAGCAGCCGCCGCAGUAA